rfam:Ovis aries breed Texel chromosome 2, whole genome shotgun sequence.
UCCCUGGUGGCUCAGAUGGUAAAGCGUCUGCCUACAAGGUAGGAGACCCGGGUUCGAUUCCUGGGUUGGGAA